rnacentral:rRNA from 1 species
GAUGAACGCUGGCGGCGUGCCUAACACAUGCAAGUCGAACGGAGUCCAGCCUUUAAGACCUUCGGGUCAAAGGGGGGAAGACUGAGUGGCGGACGGGUGAGUAACACGUGGGCAACCUGGCUCAUAGAGGGGGAUAACAGAGAGAAAUUUCUGCUAAUACCGCAUAAGCACACACUGCCGCAUGGCAGAGGGUGAAAAGAGAAUCGCUAUGAGAUGGACCCGCGUCUGAUUAGCCAGUUGGCAGGGUAAGAGCCUACCAAAGCGACGAUCAGUAGCCGAACUGAGAGGAUGAACGGCCACAUUGGGACUGAGCCACGGCCCCAACGCCUACGGGAGGCAGCAGUGGGGGAUAAUGCACAAUGGGGGGAACCCUGAUGCAGCGACGCCGGGAGAGUGAAGAAGUAUUUCGGUAUGUAAAGCUCUAUCAGCAGGGAAGAUAAUGACAGUACCUGAAUAAGAAGCCCCGGCUAACUACGU